CACAGCGAUGUGAUGCUAAUCUCCAAACCAUGUCUCAGUUCGGAUCGGAGUCUGCAACUCGACUCCGUGAAGCUGGAUUCGCUAGUAAUCGCGCAUCAGCCAUGGCGCGGUGAAUACGUUCCCGGGCCUUGUACACACCGCCCGUCAAGCCAUGGGAGCCGGGGGUACCUGAAGUCCGUAACCGCGAGGAUCGGCCUAGGGUAAAACUGGUGACUGGGGCUAAGUCGUAACAAGGUAUC
rnacentral:rRNA from 1 species